GGGGAAGCAAAAAACAGAAAUUUGGUCUCUGGUAGUGGGUCCACUUCCACCCCAUUUCAGACUCUACAGACCAAGCUUGCCUGCAGCCUGUACCUCCAAAAUGUGGAGGUGGGGAGGUCUAAGAAAGAGGGGGAUCACUUGCAAAUAUAAGGAAAUCAGACGCACCCGGUGCUACAGAAAUGGGCCAGGAGAAAACUCAGCAUUUUGACUGGGAUUUUGUUCCAACCAAGCAACUCUCUUCUACUUUCGUUGUGUACGGUUGGCACCAGAGAAAACUCUUCAAAGAACUACAGGGGGCCGGGCGCAGUGACUUAUGCCUGCAAUCCCAGCACUUUGGGAGGCUGAGGUGGGCAGAUCACUUGAGAUCAGGAGCUCAAGACCAGCCUGACCAACAUGGUGAAAUCUGUCUCUACUAAAAUACAAGAAUUAGCUGGGUGUGGUGGCUCACGCCUGUAAUCCCAGCUACUCGGGAGGCUGAGGCAGGAGAAUCGCUUGAACCUGGGAGGCAGAGGUUGCAGUGAGCCAAGAUCACACCACUGCACUCCAGUCUGGGGGACAGAGCAAGACUCUGUCUCAAAAAAUAAAUAAAUAAAUAAAUAAAAGAAAUAUAGGGGAACAACCCAGCAUCAGCCCACAUGAAACUAUUAGGUUAGCUGCUAUAACAAAUAAACCACCAAGUUUUAACAGCUUAACACCUUAAGAACUGAGCUAUCUACGUAACAGUCCAAAGCUGUUAUUUCUGAUUGGUGGGUAGUUUUGCCCAUAUGGUGAUUAAGGGACCUGUUCCCUCCACCCGUGGCUCACCAGCCCCUAGACCUCAAAGGUUUCCGCAUUCACUGGCAGACAGGAAAUGACAAUAGAAGAAGCCCAGCCUGUAUCUUAAAAGCCCUGACCCAGAAGUUAGUGGCAUUCCAUCUGGUCUCAUUCAGUUGGUGAGAAGAGUCUUAUGGCUACCCCUAGAGAGAAAAUAGAAGAUAAAGUCCCUGACUGGACAUCUCCUCCCAGCAACAACUCCACACUAUGCAAAGCAGAAUACAAACUUUCAGUGGAUUGACAUUCAUCUCUACCAAAGAGCUCUUUUCUAAUUCACAUGAAGGUGAUUUCCUCCUUGCUAAAGCCCUGGAAAUCUAAAUUGGAAAGAAAGUUAGAAAUCUACUGUGACAUGCUACAAAUGCAGAUGUGCCACAAACACCACAGAAUGGUCAUCCAGCCAGUGCCAGAUCAUCAUGAGAAAGUUUUGUUAGAAAAGUUUUCCUUUCAUAGUCCCAGGUGAGCCAUCUGUUGCAACCCAGGAGUCGAAAUUCUCCUAAGAUUGAUUAUAAAAGGCAGUUAUAGAGGAAACUGUUUGAGUCUGCUGAAUUAAAAACAAACAGUGAGGCAUUCAACGACGAACAGAUCUGAUGGAUUAAAAUGCACCGAAGAAAGACAUCUCAAGCGAUGCCUGAAUAGGCCAAGUCAGAAUGAGAGGAAAUUUGGCCUGCAAUUUCCAAUCAAGGGAAAACUGGCAAAGCAACAGAAUUUGAGGCUUCCUCAGAUUUACACUUUAUCUGCUAAUUAGCAUUAACAUGCGUGGUAGAGGUAUCUCACCAGCUUGUGGCACAAUAAAAAACGGAAUGUGUUAUCACCACAGAAUGUGUAAUUACUUUAAGCACUGGCUGAAAAUUGCAGGGUACUUCAUUUCAGAAUUUGUAUAUAUUUAUUGUUAGAGAUAAACUUGUUGAAGUAUAUCUAAUCUAAUUUUAUGUUAUAAUUCCUGUUUAAGAUAAUUUUAGUGUCAGCAAGCCAAGAACUGAAGUAAAUACUGCCGUAAAUUGUAAUACAUUAAAAUACCAGAGAAAUACUUCCAUUCAGCCGUGACUUGAUUUGCUUAUUGUUUAAGGACAAAAAAUAAAAAAUUCUCAGAUUACAUCAACAUUGGAAAUAUAUACUGUUGGGUUGCCCCUACCAUGCAGGCCAUGCAGCUGAUGAAGUUUGCUAACCUUGACUCGCCCAGUUCCCUGGAAGUGUGAAUCACUUUUAAAAGAAUUGUAGAUUUCCGUUUCCCUUAGGUAAGAUUUAUUAUUUUUGUAAAAAUCUCCUUAAAUUGCUCUGUAUGUUCCCACAAGGGAAAUGCAUUAGGACAGAUUAUUUGGCUUUAAAUCAUAACUAGGUUAAUAUUUGUUGUGAGUUUGAUUUAAGACCUUGUUUAAAUUCCUCCUUAAAUUGUUAAGCAAGACAAUUUGGGGCUAUGAAAAGGAAACUAUACUGUGUUUUUCAGUAAUAUGAUAUUAUGGCACAGACUACCAAAUCAUGCAAAAGCAAUUUCUGAUUUUUCUACUAAUAGGGGAUUAUAGCUAAAGCAUUGUCGGCAUACAGACUGUGUAUUCUUUUAGCAACCUUCUAUCAAGCCUGCAAAACUUGGAAAAAUGUGGAGAUAAUGCUGCCUCCGAGGAGGGAAUGCUGGAUCUAACACUAUUUUUGUUUGGUAACUAUCAAUUUCUCUGCCUUUUUAUGCCCUUGUUUCACCAGGAGAGAGAAGAGAGAGGGGGGAAAAAAGGAUAUACAAGGAUGCAUGGUUCACAAUGCCAAUGCCUGUAUUCAUAUAAUUUGUGUUAAUAAGAUGUAAAAACCUUCUUACGUUUUCUCCCAGUUGUCUGUCUACUGUUCCUCUGAGGAAGGCAUGAAAUUAAGGAUCCCAUUGGAUAGAUCUUAUUAUGAUUCAUCUGGAAAGAGCCCUAGGAUUUUAAUGUCUGCCCGUUGCCCUCCCUGUUGUGUGAAAAAUGGUGGGAGCUAAUGAGCCCUUGAAUGACUCUGGCCAUCUCAGAACACUGAUGUAUUGGUUGUCUAAGAGCCUUCUUCCUACGUGUAGCAAUAAUGAAGCUACAUAAAUGGAAAGUCCUGAAACUUCGAAAUUCUUUUUCUGGAGAAGUAGCUUCACACAGCACAUUUAAAGCACAACUGAAUUUUUCUUUUCAUGGCUGCUUUUUUAACAUGGAAAAUUUAUAUUUUCUGUAAUACUGAUUCCUAAUUAAUAUCUUAGCACCAAGUUCAGCAUAUUAAAGGCAGGACUGGUAUAUAAACAAAACCUGAGUGGCUCUGUGAUAGAAUAGGAGUGAGCAGACUUGAGAUCUUCCCUAGAGCUGAGGGAAACCAGGAAGGGGCAACGGUAGCAGCAAUUCAUGUGGUUUACUCUAGUGGCCAAAAGCAUUGAAAAGGUGUUAGCCCUGCUGCUCUGGCUAGACGCCAGUGAAGUAUUUAUAAGAUGCUGCCUCUGAUUCCUUCUAUGACUGUAAAAGUUUGGGGGAGAAGGGGACCUUUCUUUCCAGGCCUCAUUCCUUGCCUCUUGAGCAGUGCUGUGAUGUGUCCGGGGAAGCAGCUAUCCUUAUUUCACCUCUGAAGCUGUUUCACCUCAAAGAGGCUAUGAUUUCCCCUAAUGCAAUAGCUGGCCAUUCUCUUGCUGAAUGUGGAAAGUACUUUGGAAUCCUAUGGCAAGAAAGCAACUAAAGACAAUUUGAAGUCACAACUGUCCACAUCAUGUGAAAAUCAACACUCUUUUCCAAACCAGCAGCUAGAACAAGAAGUUGACUUGAGGAUGUUGACUCAAUACUGAUGGGUAAUUUUAGGACCUUUUCUAGGGAUACCUCCUGUCUUAGUCCAUUCAAGCUGCUAGGACAAAAUACUAUAGACUGGUGACUUAUAAAUAACAAACAGUUAUUGCUGAGUUCUGCAGUCUGGGUAGUCUAAGAUCAAGGUUCUAGUAGACCCAGAGUCUGGUGAGGUCUUACUUUCUUGUUCAUAGAUGGUUCUAUGUCUUCUCACUGUAUCCUCACAUGGUAGAAGGGGUGAGAGAGCUUACUGAGGUCUCUUUUAUAAGGGCAUUAAUCUCAUUCAUGAGGGCUACAUUCUCAUAACCUAAUCACCUCGCCAGAGCCCCACCUCCUAAUACCGUCACAGUAAUGAUUAAGUUUCAACAUAUGAAUUUUGUGGGGACACAAACAUUCCAUCUAUAGUACCUUCACAUGCAAACUAUUUCCAAAAUAAGACUUUCUGUGUGUGCAUGGGGACUUACCACAGUUCAUAAGAAGCAGUAUGAGCUGUUGGGCAUAAACAGAGCUUUCUUU
rnacentral:lncRNA from 1 species